rnacentral:rRNA from 1 species
UAUACAUGCAAGUCGAGCGAAUGGAUUAAGAGCUUGCUCUUAUGAAGUUAGCGGCGGACGGGUGAGUAACACGUGGGUAACCUGCCCAUAAGACUGGGAUAACUCCGGGAAACCGGGGCUAAUACCGGAUAACAUUUUGAACCGCAUGGUUCGAAAUUGAAAGGCGGCUUCGGCUGUCACUUAUGGAUGGACCCGCGUCGCAUUAGCUAGUUGGUGAGGUAACGGCUCACCAAGGCAACGAUGCGUAGCCGACCUGAGAGGGUGAUCGGCCACACUGGGACUGAGACACGGCCCAGACUCCUACGGGAGGCAGCAGUAGGGAAUCUUCCGCAAUGGACGAAAGUCUGACGGAGCAACGCCGCGUGAGUGAUGAAGGCUUUCGGGUCGUAAAACUCUGUUGUUAGGGAAGAACAAGUGCUAGUUGAAUAAGCUGGCACCUUGACGGUACCUAACCAGAAAGCCACGGCUAACUACGUGCCAGCAGCCGCGGUAAUACGUAGGUGGCAAGCGUUAUCCGGAAUUAUUGGGCGUAAAGCGCGCGCAGGUGGUUUCUUAAGUCUGAUGUGAAAGCCCACGGCUCAACCGUGGAGGGUCAUUGGAAA